GAUGAACGCUGGCGGCGUGCUUAACACAUGCAAGUCGAACGGAAAGGCUCCUGCUUGCAGGGGUACUCGAGUGGCGAACGGGUGAGUAACACGUGGGUGAUCUGCCCUGCACUUCGGGAUAAGCCUGGGAAACUGGGUCUAAUACCGGAUAGGACCACAUUUUGGAUGGUGUGGUGGAAAGUUUUUCGGUGUGGGAUGAGCUCGCGGCCUAUCAGCUUGUUGGUGGGGUAAUGGCCUACCAAGGCGUCGACGGGUAGCCGGCCUGAGAGGGUGUACGGCCACAUUGGGACUGAGAUACGGCCCAGACGCCUACGGGAGGCAGCAGUGGGGAAUAUUGCACAAUGGGCGCAAGCCUGAUGCAGCGACGCCGCGUGGGGGAUGACGGCCUUCGGGUUGUAAACUCCUUUCGCUAGGGACGAAGCGCAAGUGACGGUACCUGGAGAAGAAGCACCGGCUAACUACGU
rnacentral:rRNA from 1 species